AUUGAACGCUGGCGGCAGGCCUAACACAUGCACGUCGAGAGGAGCGGCGGACGGGUGAGUAAUGCCUAGGAAUCUGCCUGGGAGUGGGGGAUAACGUCAGGAAACGGGCGCUAAUACCGCAUACUAUCAAAUGAGACUAGGUCGGAUUAGCUAGGUGGGGGGGUAAAGGCAUACCAAGGCGACGAUCCGAAACUGGUCUGAGAGGAUGAGCAGUCACACUGGAACUGGGAAACGGUCCAGACUCCUACGGGAGGCAGCAGUGGGGAAUAUUGGACAAUGGUCGAAAGCCUGAUCCAGCCAUGCCGCGUGUGUGAAGAAGGUCUUCGGAUUGUAAAGCACUUUAAGUUGGGAGGCGUUACCAACAGAAUAAGCACCGGCUAACUUCGUGCCAGCAGCCGCGGUAAUAC
rnacentral:rRNA from 1 species